rnacentral:misc_RNA from 1 species
UCGGCAUAACAAAUCUCAUCCUGGAAUCAACUUCAACUGCUACACUACAUGCGGAUUCCUUUCAUCUUAAAGAUGAUCACAGCUAACACCUUCUCAGGGCAGAAUAUGAAGUUAAGACAAAAACGAAAUGACUGUCAGACCAAAGGGCAUUAACCUAGUGCGACUUCAGUAAUUCAUGAGUUUUCUUAUCCUUACCGAUCAUGAGAAUCCAGAACAUCUGUAUAGAAAAUGUAAUUUGUCACCAGCAACAAAAAUACAACAGCAAAGCUAAAACAGCACCAACAGCUGCUGCAUCUGCUUGCAUUCAACCAACAAACAGUAGUAUGUCACCAGCAACAAAUUAUAAGCAGCCAAGUUAAAACAGCAUCUACA